rnacentral:rRNA from 1 species
AGUGAACGCUGGCGGUAGGCCUAACACAUGCAAGUCGAACGGCAGCACAGUAAGAGCUUGCUCUUACGGGUGGCGAGUGGCGGACGGGUGAGGAAUACAUCGGAAUCUACUUUUUCGUGGGGGAUAACGUAGGGAAACUUACGCUAAUACCGCAUACGGCCUACGGGUGAAAGCAGGGGAUCUUCGGACCCUGCGCGAUUGAAUGAGCCGAUGUCGGAUUAGCUAGUUGGCGGGGUAAAGGCCCACCAAGGCGACGAUCCGUAGCUGGUCUGAGAGGAUGAUCAGCCACACUGGAACUGAGACACGGUCCAGACUCCUACGGGAGGCAGCAGUGGGGAAUAUUGGACAAUGGGCGCAAGCCUGAUCCAGCCAUACCGCGUGGGUGAAGAAGGCCUUCGGGUUGUAAAGCCCUUUUGUUGGGAAAGAAAAGCAGCAGGUUAAUACCCCGCUGUUCUGACGGUACCCAAAGAAUAAGCACCGGCUAACUUCGUG